UGGCGGAAUGGGUUACACAUGCAAGUCGAACGGCAGCACGGGGCAACCUGGUGGCGAGUGGCGAACGGGUGAGUAAUACAUCGGAACGUGCCCAAUCGUGGGGGAUAACGUAGCGAAAGUUACGCUAAUACCGCAUACGAUCUACGGAUGAAAGCGGGGGAUCGCAAGACCUCGCGCGAAUGGAGCGGCCGAUGUCAGAUUAGGUAGUUGGUGGGGUAAAGGCUCACCAAGCCGACGAUCUGUAGCUGGUCUGAGAGGACGACCAGCCACACUGGGACUGAGACACGGNCCAGACUCCUACGGGAGGCAGCAGUGGGGAAUUUUGGACAAUGGGCGCAAGCCUGAUCCAGCCAUUCCGCGUGCAGGAUGAAGGCCUUCGGGUUGUAAACUGC
rnacentral:rRNA from 1 species